UAACACUUGGAAACAGGUGCUAAUACCGCAUAAUAGUCGACACCGCAUGGUGUUGAUUUGAAAGACGCUUUCGGGUGUCACUGAUGGAUGGACCCGCGGUGCAUUAGCUAGUUGGUGAGGUAACGGCUCACCAAGGCCAUGAUGCAUAGCCGACCUGAGAGGGUGAUCGGCCACACUGGGACUGAGACACGGCCCAG
rnacentral:rRNA from 1 species